rnacentral:lncRNA from 1 species
GACUAACAGGCCAUUAACUUAGUCAAUGCCCACUUUUUAUUUCAAAAAUACCCCUAAAAUCCCUACUGUUAUUACUGCGCUAAUCCUUAACAAUCUGUAUUUAAACCUCUCUGAUUUACAACUACACUGAUUAUUAUUUACCAAAUCACUACACAGCUACAACCAAUUUUAAGUCAAAUCCACACAAAUAAUUCAAGCAUAAAACUGAGUUCAACCAACAGUUUCAUUUCAAUCACAAAAAUCAGAGCAAGCAAGGAGCAAAAAAUGGCGAACAUACUAGAAAACAACAAUAGCCUAUUAUCCUGCUUCUCCAAUUUUCAAUCCGACUAAUCGACGAAAACUACUCAAAUCAUUUAUAUAGCUUAUAACACACACUUUGAACAGAAGAAAAACUUUGACCAAAUAAAAGGUCUUGAAGAAGAAGAAGAAGAAGUGAUGAACAAGACAAUGUUACAAAUAAAACUUUUAAACCAAUAACAAUAAAAGAAAAUAGAUGAAAAAAACGAAAUAAUCUUGAAAGAAAAAUCUAAAAACUGAACGAGCCCAUAUUGAACUCUUGGAGGUUGAACAGGCUAUUUUGUGUGUGUUGUUGCUCGUUCGUGGACGAGCUAGAACUCGAACAGUAGGUCGUUUGGUUGAGCUAGAACUCGGACAGCAGCAAUGGUCGUCGUCCGUGGCUGUGACGAUGCUGGUUGUUGUGUGGUUAUGGAGGUCUUGAGGAAGAAGACUGGAACGGGGGAAACUUUGACCAAAUAAAAGGUCUUGAAGAAGAAGAAGAAGAAGUGAUGAACAAGACAAGGUUACAAAUAAAACUUUUAAACAAAUAACAAUAAAAGAAAAUAGAUCAAAGGAACGAAAUAAUCUUGAGAGAAAAAUCUGAAAAUCGAACGAACCCAUGUCGAAUUCGAAUUUGAACUCUUAGAAGUCGAACGUACUGUUGUGAACGGGGAAGGGACUGUUUGUGUGUGUGUUUGCCCGUUCAUGGACGAGCUGGAAACUUGACGGACAGUAGGAUGAUGUUUGGACUGUUUCCGGUGCUGAAGAGUGACGGACUGGUCAAUGGGGUCGUCGUCCGUCGCUUGCUGUUCAUGGAGUUUCGCCACUGCUCGCCGGGUUGAUGACGGACAGCAGCUAGAGGAGAACGGGGGUCGUUUGGGGCGAGGUAAGGAGAACGUGAAGCAACAAAAAUGGAGUAAGACGAAGCUGGAAGGCGGCAGCGAUGGCGGGAAUCAAAGGCUACUGCUCGUCGUAGGCGAGUGACUCGUUUGGUCGUGACGAUUAGACUGGCAGCAGCUGGUUCUCCCAUGGUCUAGGGUCUUUACUCCAUUUAUGUCUUAGGUUUGAAGAAGGAGUAGUAGUUAGGAUUAGGGUUUUUGUUAUUGUGUCUUGUGAAGAAGAUGACAUUUGGUCUCCUCCAAAAU